GCUCCUGUAGUUAAAGGGAUAUAACUAGGGAUUUCUAAUCCCUCAUUACAGGUUCGAGUCCUGUCGGGAGUA
rnacentral:tRNA from 1 species